AACGAACGCUGGCGGCGUGGAUGAGGCAUGCAAGUCGAACGGGAUCCAGCAGGUAGCAAUAUUUGCUGGUGAGAGUGGCGUAAGGGUGAGUAAUGCGUGGGUAAUCUACCUCUAAGAUCGGCAUAGCCCGGCGAAAGCUGGGAUAAUUCCGAAUGUUGUCGGCCGGUGCAUACCGGCCUGUCCAAAGCUGGGGACCGCAAGGCCUGGCACUUGGAGAUGAGCCCACGUCCUAUCAGCUAGUUGGUGAGGUAACGGCUCACCAAGGCUUACGGGUAGCUGGUCUGAGAGGACGAUCAGCCACACUGGGACUGAGACACUGCCCAGACUCCUACGGGAGGCUGCAGUCGAGAAUCUUUCGCAAUGGGCGCAAGCCUGACGAAGCGACGCCGCGUGUAGGAUGAAGGCCUUCGGGUUGUAAACUACUGUCUUUGGGGAGCAACGGCCGGGACGUUAAUACCGUACCGGAUUGAUAGUACUCAAGGAGGAAGCCACGGCUAACUCUGUGCCAGCAGCCGCGGUAAUACAGAGGUGGCGAGCGUUGUUCGGAUUUACUGGGCGUAAAGGGUGCGUAGGCGGUUCUGCGUGUCGGAUGUGAAAUCUCACUGAAAACGGUGAAACGGCAUUCGAAACUGCAGGGCUAGAGUGCAGGAGAGGAUGGCGGAAUUCUCGGUGUAGCGGUGAAAUGCGUUGAUAUCGAGAGGAACGCCGGUGGCGAAGGCGGCCAUCUGGACUGCAACUGACGCUGAGGCACGAAAGCUAGGGGAGCAAACAGGAUUAGAUACCCUGGUAGUCCUAGCCGUAAACGGUGUGAACUUGGUGUGGGAGGAAUUAUCCCCUUCCGUGCCGUAGCUAACGCGAUAAGUUCACCGCCUGGGGAGUACGGCCGCAAGGCUAAAACUCAAAGGAAUUGACGGGGGCCCGCACAAGCGGUGGAGCAUGUGGCUUAAUUCGAUGCAACGCGAAGAACCUUACCUGGGCUUGACAUGUAACUGCAAAUCCGGUGAAAGCCGGACUCCUUCGAGGGUGUUACACAGGUGCUGCAUGGCUGUCGUCAGCUCGUGCCGUGAGGUGUUAGGUUAAGUCCUGCAACGAGCGCAACCCCUGUGAUUAGUUGCUAGUCGCGCAAGCGAAGCACUCUAGUCAGACUGCCUGUGAUAAGCAGGAGGAAGGUGGGGAUGACGUCAAGUCAGUAUGGUCCUUAUGCCCAGGGCUGCACACGUGCUACAAUGUAGGGUACAGAGGGAUGCGAAUCCGCGAGGUGGAGCAAAUCCCAUAAAACCCUACUCAGUUCAGAUUGGAGUCUGCAACUCGACUCCAUGAAGCUGGAAUCGCUAGUAAUGGCGCAUCAGCUACGGCGCCGUGAAUACGUUCCCGGGCCUUGUACACACCGCCCGUCACAUCAUGAAAGCCGAUUGCACCCGAAGUCGCUGUUUCAACCCGCAAGGGGGAUAGGUGCCUAAGGUGUGGUUGGUGAUUGGGAUG
rnacentral:rRNA from 1 species